UACGGGGGGAGCAAGCGUUGUUCGGAUUUACUGGGCGUAAAGGGCGCGUAGGCGGUCGUGACAAGUCACUUGUGAAAUCUCCGGGCUUAACUCGGAACGGUCAAGUGAUACUGUCGGACUAGAGUACAGAAGGGGCAACUGGAAUUCUCGGUGUAGCGGUGAAAUGCGUAGAUAUCGAGAGGAACACCUGCGGCGAAGGCGGGUUGCUGGGCUGACACAUGA
rnacentral:rRNA from 1 species